rnacentral:rRNA from 1 species
AUUGAACGCUGGCGGCAUGCUUUACACAUGCAAGUCGAACGGUAACAGGUUAAGCUGACGAGUGGCGAACGGGUGAGUAAUGCAUCGGAACGUGCCCGGUCGUGGGGGAUGACGCAGCGAAAGCUGCGCUAAUACCGCAUACGGUCCGAGGAUGAAAGCGGGGGACCGUAAGGCCUCGCGCGAUCGGACCGGCCGAUGUCAGAUUAGGUAGUUGGUGAGGUAAAGGCUCACAAAGCCAACGAUCUGUAGCUGGUCUGAGAGGACGACCAGCCACACUGGGACUGAGACACGGCCCAGACUCCUACGGGAGGCAGCAGUGGGGAAUUUUGGACAAUGGGCGAAAGCCUGAUCCAGCAAUGCCGCGUGCAGGAAGAAGGCCUUCGGGUUGUAAACUGCUUUUGUACGGAGCGAAAAGGCUCUCUCUAAUACAGGGGGCUCAUGACGGUACCGUAAGAAUAAGCACCGGCUAACUACGUGCCAGCCGCCGCUGUAA